rnacentral:rRNA from 1 species
CCUANGGGGGGCAGCAGUGGGGAAUAUUGGACAAUGGGCGAAAGCCUGAUCCAGCAAUGCCGCGUGAGUGAUGAAGGCCUUCGGGUUGUAAAGCUCUGUCGGGAGGGACGAAUAGAGUGGUGUAACGGCCACUUCUGACGGUACCUCCAAAGGAAGCACCGGCUAACUCUGUGCCAGCAGCCGCGGUAAUACAGAGGGUGCAAGCGUUGUUCGGAAUUACUGGGCGUAAAGCGCGUGUAGGCGGCGUCGUGAGUCAUAUGUGAAAGCCCUCGGCUCAACCGAGGAAGUGCAUGUGAUACUGCGAUGCUUGAGUGUUGGAGGGGGUGGCGGAAUUCCCGGUGUAGAGGUGAAAUUCGUAGAUAUCGGGAGGAACACCUGUGGCGAAGGCGGCCACCUGGACAACAACUGACGCUGAGACGCGAAAGCGUGGGUAGCAAACAGGAUUAGAUACCCUANUANUC